CACGCCGUAAACGAUGAGUGCUAAGUGUUAGGGGGUUUCCGCCCCUUAGUGCUGCAGCUAACGCAUUAAGCACUCCGCCUGGGGAGUACGGUCGCAAGACUGAAACUCAAAGGAAUUGACGGGGGCCCGCACAAGCGGUGGAGCAUGUGGUUUAAUUCGAAGCAACGCGAAGAACCUUACCAGGUCUUGACAUCCCGUUGACCACUGUAGAGAUAUGGUUUUCCCUUCGGGGACAACGGUGACAGGUGG
rnacentral:rRNA from 1 species